AUCAUUAACAUACUCUCUAGUCAAACAUGUUCCCUCUAGUUCAAUAUCCAUCUACUCUUACAAGAUUGGGGCAGAGAAGCUGGAGCUUACCUAAACAAAUCUUUAGAUUUGUCGCCUUUUGCUUCAAUUCUAUUUCACCAUCUCAAUUUCUCUUUGUUUCCAAGCUCCUCCUUGUUUGCACCAAUUCUGAAGCACAAAUCUUCCCCACGUUCUGAACUCAUCAUUUGUAAUGAUAGAAUUGUUUUGCAAACAGAAAGGACCUUGGAACAAGCAUCAAUCACAGACACAUCUUUGAGAACUAAACGAGAUUUUCAAAGGUUGAAUGGUUGUUAUGGAUCUGAUCAUGUGGAUGAUGUGCAAUGGAUACUGAUCUACAAAAGCCAAAAGAACCAUUAGAAAAAAUUGAUAAUACAAAACUAAAUUAGAAACGAAAAGUAUGGUUGUCCACAUAACAUAUACUAUGUGGUUAUCUUUUCUCUUGAGGUACUUAUAAUUGUUAUCUGACUAAGUUAUGUUAUGUGUUUUUAUGCUACAAUCCAUAACAUGUCAUAGUAUCUUGUGAUUGCCAUUCGACUUAGUUGUGUUACACGAUAAUUAGUCCAUAAAGAUUUCAAAUUUUAAAUUACUGAUUAUAUAAUUUGAUUGAUCGUUUAGUUACGAAGACCAUAAAACAUUGUCUACAAUCUAAUUAAGUAGUUAAUGGUAGGUUGUAUCCAUAAUAAUAUGUUCGGUUAUACUUCACCACAAGUAGUUGAUGAACUAGAAAAAAAUCCAUGGAUACCUAAACAACAAAUAACUCACACAAAGUUUUCUAAUGAAGGUUGUG
rnacentral:lncRNA from 1 species